rnacentral:rRNA from 1 species
AUGCUCGUCUUCGUCAGCGCCAUCGUCACUGUUCCCAAGACAAACAAGCUUCGGGCUGUGGUAGACAUGUUCAUCUGUGUCUCGAGUGUAUCAUACUACAUGUUUACCACACUCGUGAUCUCUCCCGAAGCGAAAAGCAUUUUCAGCGAGAUAGGCGGUUCGUUGGAGGGGGAAGGAAACAGGUUACUCAAGGCCUUAUGCAGCAUGAUGGAGGAGGUCAGAACAUUCAUCGUGGACGACGACUCGUGGGCUGUCGAGAUUCUGCAAGGAAGAGGCGAGGUUCACAGGAACACUCGGUUGAUGGUGGAUUGCAUCAUGUCCAUGAAAAUGACACGCACCUCGGCACGGAGACACAGCAGUGCAAACCUUCGUGGCCUGGUAGAUAACUCCGUUGAUUAUCUGAAGGAUGUGCUCCUGAGAAAAUCUGAGCUAUGCCCGGAUCUAAGCAUGAGGUACCUGUUCUUGCUCAACAAUUCCUAUUUCAUAGUGCAGGUGUCUGAGGCAUCGGACAUGGUCAACCGCCAAAUAAGAGGCUGGACUUACCUUUCGUUGUUGUAUGCACAUAUUUCUUUCGUUCUGAAGUGA